AGAGUUUGAUCCUGGCUCAGGAUAAACGCUAGCGGGAGGCCUAACACAUGCAAGUCGAACGGUAAUUUGAGUUCGCUCAAGUGAGAGUGGCGCACGGGUGAGUAACGCGUAUGCAACCUGCCCUAUACUGGGGGAUAGCCCGGAGAAAUUCGGAUUAAUACCCCAUAGUUCUAUUGUAUCGCAUGGUAUGAUAGCUAAAGUUUCGGCGGUAUAGGAUGGGCAUGCGUGUCAUUAGCUAGUUGGUAAGGUAACGGCUUACCAAGGCUACGAUGACUAGGGGGCCUGAGAGGGUAAUCCCCCACACUGGUACUGAGACACGGACCAGACUCCUACGGGAGGCAGCAGUGAGGAGUAUUGGUCAAUGGACGGAAGUCUGAACCAGCCAUCCCGCGUGCAGGAUGACGGCCCUACGGGUUGUAAACUGCUUUUCUGAGGAAAGAAAAUCUCUGACGUGUCAGAGUUUGCCGGUACCUCAGGAAUAAGCAUCGGCUAACUCCGUGCCAGCAGCCGCGGUAAUACGGAGGAUGCAAGCGUUAUCCGGAUUUAUUGGGUUUAAAGGGUGCGUAGGUGGUUUUAUAAGUCAGUGGUGAAAGUCUGCAGCUUAACUGUAGGAUUGCCAUUGAAACUGUAAGACUUGAGUGUGGUUGAGGUAGGCGGAAUGUGUAGUGUAGCGGUGAAAUGCUUAGAUAUUACACAGAACUCCAAUUGCGAAGGCAGCUUACUAAGCCAUUACUGACACUGAGGCACGAAAGCGUGGGGAUCAAACAGGAUUAGAUACCCUGGUAGUCCACGCCGUAAACGAUGCUCACUCGUUGUUGGCGAUACACAGUCAGCGACUAAGCGAAAGUGAUAAGUGAGCCACCUGGGGAGUACGCUCGCAAGGGUGAAACUCAAAGGAAUUGACGGGGGCCCGCACAAGCGGAGGAACAUGUGGUUUAAUUCGAUGAUACGCGAGGAACCUUACCUGGGCUUAAAUGUGAGAUGAUCGCCGGUGAAAGCUGGUUUCCCUUCGGGGCAACUUACAAGGUGCUGCAUGGUUGUCGUCAGCUCGUGCCGUGAGGUGUCGGGUUAAGUCCCAUAACGAGCGCAACCCCUAUCGUUAGUUGCCAUCGGGUAAUGCCGGGAACUCUAACGAGACUGCCACCGUAAGGUGUGAGGAAGGUGGGGAUGACGUCAAAUCAGCACGGCCCUUAUGUCCAGGGCUACACACGUGUUACAAUGGACGGUACAGAGGGCAGCUACCUUGCGAAAGGAUGCUAAUCUCGAAAACCGUUCUCAGUUCGGAUUGGAGUCUGCAACUCGACUCCAUGAAGCUGGAUUCGCUAGUAAUCGCGCAUCAGCCAUGGCGCGGUGAAUACGUUCCCGGGCCUUGUACACACCGCCCGUCAAGCCAUGGGAGCCGGGAGUACCUGAAGUACGUAACCGCAAGGAGCGUCCUAGGGUAAAACUGGUGACUGGGGCUAAGUCGGAACAAGGUA
rnacentral:rRNA from 1 species